rnacentral:rRNA from 1 species
GAGUAACGCGUAGGUAACCUACCUCUUAGCGGGGGAUAACUAUUGGAAACGAUAGCUAAUACCGCAUAACAAUAGGAUACACAUGUACCCUAUUUAAAAGGAGCAACUGCUUCACUAAGAGAUGGACCCGCGUUGUAUUAGCUAGUUGGUAGGGUAACGGCCUACCAAGGCAUCGAUACAUAGCCGACUGAGAGGGUGAUCGGCACACUGGGACUGAGACACGGCCAGACUCCUACGGGAGGCAGCAGUAGGGAAUCUUCGGCAAUGGGGGGAACCCUGACCGAGCAACGCCGCGUGAGUGAAGAAGGUUUUCGGAUCGUAAAGCUCUGUUGUAAGAGAAGAACGUGUGAGAGAGUGGAAAGUUCUCACAGUGACGGUAACUUACCAGAAAGGGACGGCUAACUACGUGCCAGCAGCCGCGGUAAUACGUAGGUCCCGAGCGUUGUCCGGAUUUAUUGGGCGUAAAGCGAGCGCAGGUGGUUGUAUAAGU